UACGUAGGGUGCAAGCGUUAAUCGGAAUCACUGGGCGUAAAGGGCGCGUAGGCGGCCCUCUUAGUCGCGUGUGAAAGCCCCGGGCUCAACCUGGGAACGGCGCGCGAAACGGGAGGGCUGGAGUUCGGGAGAGGAGAGUGGAAUUCCCAGUGUAGAGGUGAAAUUCGUAGAUAUUGGGAAGAACACCGGUGGCGAAGGCGGCUCUCUGGACCGAGACUGACGGCUGAGGCGCGAAAAGCGUGGGGAGCAAACAGG
rnacentral:rRNA from 1 species